rnacentral:rRNA from 1 species
UACAGAGGGGGCAAGCGUUGUUCGGAAUUACUGGGCGUAAAGGGCGCGUAGGCGGCCUGUUAAGUCGAACGUGAAAUCCCCGGGCUCAACCCGGGAACUGCGUCCGAUACUGGCAGGCUCGAAUCCGGGAGAGGGAUGCGGAAUUCCAGGUGUAGCGGUGAAAUGCGUAGAUAUCUGGAGGAACACCGGUGGCGAAGGCGGCAUCCUGGACCGGCAUUGACGCUGAGGCGCGAAAGCGUGGGGAGCAAACAGG